AACGAACGCUGGCGGCGUGCCUAACACAUGCAAGUCGAGCGAGGACUUCGGUCCUAGCGGCGGACGGGUGAGUAACGCGUGGGAACGUGCCCCUUGGUACGGAAUAGCCCCGGGAAACUGGGAGUAAUACCGUAUGAGCUCUACGGAGGAAAGAUUUAUCGCCAAGGGAUCGGCCCGCGUUGGCUUAGGUAGUUGGUGGGGUAAUGGCCUACCAAGCCGACGAUCCAUAGCUGGUUUGAGAGGAUGAUCAGCCACACUGGGACUGAGACACGGCCCAGACUCCUACGGGAGGCAGCAGUGGGGAAUCUUAGACAAUGGGCGCAAGCCUGAUCUAGCCAUGCCGCGUGAGCGAUGAAGGCCUUAGGGUUGUAAAGCUCUUUCAGCUGGGAAGAUAAUGACUGUACCAGCAGAAGAAGCCCCGGCUAACUCCGUGCCAGCCGCCGCCGUAACAC
rnacentral:rRNA from 1 species